rnacentral:rRNA from 1 species
GCUUGCUGGGGGGAUUAGUGGCGAACGGGUGAGUAACACGUGAGUAACCUGCCCUUAACUCUGGGAUAAGCCUGGGAAACUGGGUCUAAUACCGGAUAUGACUCCUCAUCGCAUGGUGGGGGGUGGAAAGCUUUUGUGGUUUUGGAUGGACUCGCGGCCUAUCAGCUUGUUGGUGAGGUAAUGGCUCACCAAGGCGACGACGGGUAGCCGGCCUGAGAGGGUGACCGGCCACACUGGGACUGAGACACGGCCCAGACUCCUACGGGAGGCAGCAGUGGGGAAUAUUGCACAAUGGGCGCAAGCCUGAUGCAGCGACGCCGCGUGAGGGAUGACGGCCUUCGGGUUGUAAACCUCUUUCAGUAGGGAAGAAGCGAAAGUGACGGUACCUGCAGAAGAAGCGCCGGCUAACUACGUGCCAGCAGCCGCGGUAAUACGUAGGGCGCAAGCGUUAUCCGGAAUUAUUGGGCGUAAAGAGCUCGUAGGCGGUUUGUCGCGUCUGCCGUGAAAGUCCGGGGCUCAACUCCGGAUCUGCGGUGGGUACGGGCAGACUAGAGUGAUGUAGGGGAGACUGGAAUUCCUGGUGUAGCGGUGAAAUGCGCAGAUAUCAGGAGGAACACCGAUGGCGAAGGCAGGUCUCUGGGCAUUAACUGACGCUGAGGAGCGAAAGCAUGGGGAGCGAACAGGAUUAGAUACCCUGGUAGUCCAUGCCGUAAACGUUGGGCACUAGGUGUGGGGGACAUUC